AAAGGAAUAGACGGGGACCCGCACAAGCGGUGGAGCAUGUGGUUUAAUUCGAAGCAACGCGAAGAACCUUACCAGGUCUUGACAUCCCAAUGCCCGGCUUAGAGAUAAGUCUUUCCCUUCGGGGACAUUGGUGACAGGUGGUGCAUGGUUGUCGUCAGCUCGUGUCGUGAGAUGUUGGGUUAAGUCCCGCAACGAGCGCAACCCUUAACCUUAGUUGCCAGUAUUCAGUUAGGCACUUUAAGGUGACUGCCGGUGACAAACCGGAGGAAGGUGGGGAUGACGUCAAAUCAUCAUGCCCCUUAUGACCUGGGCUACACACGUGCUACAAUGGACGGUACAGAGGGUUGCCAACCCGCGAGGGGGAGCUAAUCCCAUAAAACCGUUCCCAGUUCGGAUUGUAGGCUGCAACUCGCCUGCAUGAAGCCGGAAUCGCUAGUAAUCGUGGAUCAGCAUGCCACGGUGAAUACGUUCCCGGGUCUUGUACACACCGCCCGU
rnacentral:rRNA from 1 species